UGGGGUGUAGCUCAAUAGGCAGAGCGCCUGGCUGUUAACCAGGAGGUUGGAGGUUCGAGCCCUCCCGCCCCAG
rnacentral:tRNA from 1 species